rnacentral:rRNA from 1 species
GACGAACGCUGGCGGCGUGCUUAACACAUGCAAGUCGAACGGAAAGGCCCUGCUUUUGUGGGGUGCUCGAGUGGCGAACGGGUGAGUAACACGUGAGUAACCUGCCCUUGACUUUGGGAUAACUUCAGGAAACUGGGGCUAAUACCGGAUAGGAGCUCCUGCUGCAUGGUGGGGGUUGGAAAGUUUCGGCGGUUGGGGAUGGACUCGCGGCUUAUCAGCUUGUUGGUGGGGUAGUGGCUUACCAAGGCUUUGACGGGUAGCCGGCCUGAGAGGGUGACCGGCCACAUUGGGACUGAGAUACGGCCCAGACUCCUACGGGAGGCAGCAGUGGGGAAUAUUGCACAAUGGGCGGAAGCCUGAUGCAGUAACGCCGCGUGCGGGAUGACGGCUUUCGGGUUGUAAACCGCUUUCGCCUGUGACGAAGCGUGAGUGACGGUAAUGGGUAAAGAAGCACCGGCUAACUACGUG